rnacentral:rRNA from 1 species
AGAGUUUGAUCCUGGCUCAGAACGAACGCUGGCGGCAGGCCUAACACAUGCAAGUCGAACGUGAAGCCACCUUCGGGUGGUGGAAAGUGGCAGACGGGUGAGUAACGCGUGGGAACGUGCCUUUCGGUUCGGAAUAACC